ensembl:lncRNA
GAAAAUAUGUACUUUAAACAUGUUGUUGAACAUUUUGUGUAAUAUUUAUUAUAUUAACGCUCUGUGUUUUUAUAUUUUGCCGAUUAACCUUGAGACAAUCAUCUUUGGGAAUCAAGUAUUAGCACGUAACAAUACUACGUCAUUGUUAGUAAACAAGUCGGAUGCUGAAGUCGAGUUGAAGCCGCUUUGGCCUAAUCGCAAGUUGUUUAUUGUGUAUACUCUUAUGGAUACCGUUUUAUUGGGAUAAUGAAGUGUAGUUUGCUGUAGUAAAAACGCCAACAAGGCAAGCCCUUAGGUAAGUUACAGCUUACGGUCAUCUGCACAUACACGAGAUCACAGUUACCCCCUACGAGACGACCGUUACUCCCUACGACACCACCGUUACCCCCUACGAGACCACCGUAACCCCCUACGAGACCACCGUUACCCCUACGACACCACCGUUACCCCCUACGAGACCACCGUAACUCCCUACGAGACCACCGUAACCCCCUACGAGAACACCAUAAGCAGCUACGAGACCACCGUAAGCACCUACGGAGGCCCCGUAAGGUCAGGUUCGCGUGCUAUCAGGCAUCAAACUACAGCGUGAACGAGUGAUUCUUCAGCAGCACUCGUUCCAGAACAUCAUGCCUAAUAGGCUAGUACAGGACAGAUUCUCCAGUAUAACAACAACUGACUGAAAAUGAAAGCAUCCGGACAACACACCUGGACAAAGAGCAUGCUGCAGCAGGGGAGCAAGGGACUCGGGCACCUACAGUAGUGGAUGUGCUACAGUGGAUACAGAUUCCCCUACUGCUAGGGGACCCACGGCCUAUCAGGGGUGGGUACCAUGCCUCACCGGUCAACCGAUAGCUGAGGAAACGUCCGAGUCAACCGGAGGUCAGUGCUUGUUUCCAGC